UGUGCAUGUAAUUGUGAUGGACGCUGUAGCAGAGAGGACUAACGUCGUGGGAUAGACGAAAGAUGGAGUUAAGGGUCUGCAAGGACAUCCGAUUUCUAAGUUUGCUUUUUGCCACACAGCCAUCUGGCUGAAUACUCUCUCGACUUAAGCAUUCAAGUCUCGCAAGGACAACAGACGCAGCUAUGGGCACCAAAACCGGUAAAUAUCUUCCAACCUUCCUACACAAUGCACACCAGAGCAGUAGCGGAUGUGGACCCAAUCUUGCCUCACCUUGGUGUAAUGAAACUGCAUGGGGUCAUCAGUGGAGAGGGAGACAAUUAGUCCUUUCUUAAGGAA